GACGAACGCUGGCGGCGUGCUUAACACAUGCAAGUCGAACGGUAAGGCCUUUCGGGGUACACGAGUGGCGAACGGGUGAGUAACACGUGGGUGAUCUGCCCUGCACUUCGGGAUAAGCCCGGGAAACUGGGUCUAAUACCGGAUAGGACUGCGCGGUGCAUGCCGUGUGGUGGAAAGAUUUAUCGGUGCAGGAUGGGCCCGCGGCCUAUCAGCUUGUUGGUGGGGUAAUGGCCUACCAAGGCGACGACGGGUAGCCGGCCUGAGAGGGCGACCGGCCACACUGGGACUGAGACACGGCCCAGACUCCUACGGGAGGCAGCAGUGGGGAAUAUUGCACAAUGGGCGCAAGCCUGAUGCAGCGACGCCGCGUGAGGGAUGACGGCCUUCGGGUUGUAAACCUCUUUCAGCAGGGACGAAGCGUGAGUGACGGUACCUGCAGAAGAGGCACCGGCCAACUACGUG
rnacentral:rRNA from 1 species